AAAAAUCCCUGUUUAGGGGACGGGAAACACUGUCGCUCUCUGGAAAGAAGCUGAGGGUGGUCAAGAAAGCCUCUUUGAAGAGGAAUCACUUGAACAAAGAAUUCAAUGACGUGAGGAGGCCAACCAUGGGGAAUUCUACAGAAGAAUAUUCCAGACAAGCAAAAGGUUCCAGGAGAAUAAUUCAUGAAACAAAUCAGGAAUGCUGAAGAGAGUGACAGAGAUCCUUCCAGCAAAUCUUGUGGUCUUUGAUGUGAGCACUGCCGAGAAAAUACCUUCCACCGAGCAAGUAUGGGAGAAAAACUUGAAGAAGGUAUUUCAUGUUCUCCUUUGUUGUGUCUUUGAUGUACACAAAGGAUUUCGUCCUAGAAGAUGAAGACUUUAUCCAUUUUCUUCUUCCUGAGGAGAGCUUUGUUGUGUGUUUCCCUGUUGGGCAUGAUCCUGGUAUCAGUUAUCCUUGCAGAAAGAAGACCUCCUCUACUCUUGAAUUUCUCUCCUUCUUCCUCCUCCACUGUCACUUCCUUAAUCGAGUCCAACACUGUUUCUCACUUGGAUUACUACAACCACCUCCUAUCACUCCUGCCUCCAGGCUUGCCCUUCUCCAAUUCUUUCUCCCAGUAGCAGCCAGAUGGAGGUUUCUAAAAUACAAACAUGGUGAUGUCACUCCUCUACUUACAAUCCUUUUAGGGGGCCCAUCUACCCCCUGUGUGCACAUGUCUUAGUGUAUCUUGCAAAGCCUUCAACCAUCUCUCUCCAACAUCCUCAGCCCUCCCUCCUGUACUGCUGUGCUCUUCAUUCCAGCUUCUCAUCAUCCCUAGUGCACUAUCGUCCCACAGAUCCGGCCAUUGCACAGGCCUAAUGCCUAUUCAGCUUUCAGUUCUCAACUUAGAGAUCGCUUUCUCCAGGAAGCCUUCCCAGAUCACCUGGGUUUGAUGUCCCUCCCUUAUGGUCGGUCCCACAGCAUCCUGCACUAACUGACUGUAAUGAAGCUCUUAUGAAACAAUAUUAUUAUCUGUUAGGGACGAGGGCACUACCACUGACACUUCAAGAAUCUCUAGCACUUUGCUCGACACCUGGCCCAGAGCAGGUACCUUAGUAUAUCCUUAAUUAAAGGAAUGAAUGAAUCAAUAAGUGUAGCACCAACCAAACCAAAACAAAAUUAAUACUGUCAUGAAAGGGAGUAAAGCCUUGCAGUUAAAUUGAGACAUUUCUAAGUCUGGUAGGUAAAGAACAUGGAAGUUAAGACAUCAAAACUAUUCCAGAGGUUAUUUCUGGGGAGUGUGAUUGGGGGAGUAUAAAAAGGGAAUUUCAUUUUUUACUUUAUAUACCCAACAAUUGUUUGAUAUUGCUAUAAGAAUGCAUUACCAUUAUAACAAAAAAUUUUAAAAAUAAUAAAUGCCCAUAACCAAGUGUUUACUGUUAGUUUUUAAAUAGCCUCUAAUCCUCUUCUUAAUUUUUAAAAAAUUUUAAUUUUAUUGGAGUAUAGUUGACUUACAAUGUUGUGUUAGUUUCAGGUGUACAGCAAAGUGAAUCAGUUAUACAUAUACAUAUAUCCACUCUUUUUUAGUUUCUUUUCCCAUAUAGGUCAUUACAGAGUAUUGAGUAGAGUUCCCUGUGCUAUACAGUAGGUCCUUGUUGGUUCUCUAUGGUAUAUAUAUCAGUGUGUGAUGUUCAUCCGAGCUCCUGAUUUAUCCCUCACCCCCCCACCCCCUGCCACAUUUCCCCUUUGGUUACCAUAAGUUUGUUUUUGAUAUCUGUAAGUCUGUUUCUGUUUUGUAAAUAAGUUCACUUGUAUCAUUUUUUUAAAUUAGAUUCCACAUAUGUGUGAUAUCAUAUGAGAUCUGUCUUUCUCUGUCUGACUUACUUCACUUAGUAUAAUAAUUUCUUGGUCCAUCCAUGUUGCUGCAAAUGGCAUUAUUUCAUUCUUUUGUAUGGCUGAGUAAUAUUCCAUUGUAUAUAUGUACCACAUCUUCUUUAUCCAUUCCUCUGUCGAUGGACAUUUAGGUUGCUUCCAUGUCUUGGCUAUUGUAAAUAGUGCUUCAGUGAACACUGGGGUGCAUGUAUCUUUUUGGAUUAUGGUUUUCUCCAGAUAUAUGCCCGGAGUGGGAUUGCUGGAACAUAUGGUAGUUCUAUUUUUAGUUUUUUAAGGGACUUCCAUAAUGUUCUCCAUAGUGGUUGUACCAAUUUUUUUUUUUUUUUUU